rfam:Tupaia chinensis contig175721, whole genome shotgun sequence.
CCCGCUCUUAGUGGCCUCGCCAGUGUGGCUGCUGUCACCGCCGUGUCACUGAGGGCAGAGAGCAGGGCCGUGUCAACCUCAGUGUUCUGACCCGUGAGCGAGUGAAUGAUUCACAGCUUGGACAAC